ensembl:lncRNA
AGAGAGGGCAAACAGGUGUGCAUAACAUGCUCUGAGGUAGGAGGAGGGAGAGAGAGAUGAGUGUAGGCUCUACUCCUGUUCUGCUACUCAGACCCAGACUCUCUCUGAUGAGUGCAGCUGGAGAGACAGACCCCAGGCAUUUCAUUUAAAUGAUUUUCUAUUGUAACCUUUUAUUUAACUAAGUCAGUUAAGAACAAUACUUAUUUACAAUGACAGCCUAUGAACAACAACUGCCUUGUUCAGGGGCAGAAACGACAGAUGUUUUACCUUGUCAGCUCAGGGUUUCGAUCCAGCAACCUUUCAGUUACUGGCCAAACGCUCUAACCACUAGUAUACCCUGCCGCCUCUACACUCUAACCACUAGGCUACCUGCAGCCCUAUACUAACCACUAGGCUCUAACCACUAGGCUACCUGCCGCCCCAUACUAACCACUAGGCUACCUGCAGCCCUAUACUAACCACUAGGCUCUAACCACUAGGCUACCUGCCGCCCUAUACUAACCACUAGGCUCUAACCACUAGGCUACCUGCCGCCCCAUACUAACCACUAGGCUCUAACCACUAGGCUACCUGCCGCACCAUGCUAACCACUAGGCUCUAACCACUAGGCUACCUGCCGCCCCAUACUAACCACUAGGCUCUAACCACUAGGCUACCUGCCGCCCCAUACUAACCACUAGGCUCUAACCACUAGGCUACCUGCCGCACCAUGCUAACCACUAGGCUCUAACCACUAGGCUACCUGCCGCCCCAUACUAACCACUAGGCUCUAACCACUAGGCUCUAACCACUAGGCUACCUGCCGCCCCAUACUAACCACUAGGCCCUAACUACUAGGCUACCUGCCGCCCCAUACUAACCACUAG